rnacentral:rRNA from 1 species
AUGCUCGCCGCCACCACCGCCUCCCUCCCCCCGCCGCUCCGCCGCUCACCGCGCGCAACCUCCCUCGGUGGCCCCCAUGGAUGCGAGGCUGGGGCCCGCUCUCUCAACCCGCGGCCCCGCAGCCGGCGGACUCUAGCCUGCCGCGCGGAGCUGCAGCAGGACGCGCCGUUCGUCGCCGCCAUCGGCGCCUGCGUGCUCGCGUCCCUCGCGCUCCCGCCGCCCAGGGUCCGAGGAGAGGCGGCGGAAGAGGAGGACGACGGGGAGUUCGGCGCGACGGACACGAGGAUGGGCGUGAUGGCCAUCAUCUCCUUCCUGCCUUACUUCAACUGGCUGAGCUGGGUCUUCGCGUGGCUCGACAGCGGCAGCAAGCUGUAUCUGCUCUACGCGGCCGUCUAUUUGGCUCCUUACCUUAGAACGAACUUAUCGCUCUCCCCUGAUGAGAGCUGGUUGCCUAUUGCGAGCAUCUUCAUCUGCAUCUUACAUGUUCAGCUAGAAGCAGGCAUCAGGAAUGGUGAUAUUGAGGGCUUCAUGUUAUUUCAAAAAGCACAGAAUCUUCUCUUUCCCAACGCUAUGAAAGAAAAGGAUGGCCACCGUGCAAAGAAGAGAGAAUCCCUCAGAACGGGACAUCGGGGCAACUCAAGAAUACCUUCAGCUCACGAGUCCAGAGAGAAGCUUCGCAACUCAGAUAUCUUCAAGAAAAAACUUGAUGAGCCCGAUGAGCAACAAAAGAAAUCAGACUGGCAUUGA